CUCUGCCAAAACCUCCCCUUCGCGAAAAAUUCAUGAAAAACUCAUUUACUCCUGAAACCCUCCUAAGUGAAAAACCUAGGCUCCAAAACUCAUGUCCACGAGACAAAAACCCAAGGCUUCAUCUCUUCUCUGCCACUACUGGUCGGCAGCCUCCUCCACUUCAUCACCACCGGCCUCCCUUAUUCUCUUCCUCUACCCGAUUGGGAGAGGACAAGCUCCCUCUUCUGCCUCCAUCUCAUCCAUAGCCAACGCUAACGCACACAAUAGGAGCUUCAUCCCUGAAUUCGCCGGCCAUCUCAUCUCCUCUACCAUCUUCCUCAUCGCUGACGGCAAGGUCUUCUCACAGAGCUUCCAGAUCUGAAAGUCAUCUCACGGUGCCUUCGUCCUCAGCCCACAACCUUCUCCCAAGUGGGAGAGGCACCACCGUUGAACUCUACAGCAUCCUCUCCUGAUUGGUAGAGGUUUCUUUGCCACCACUGGUUUCCUUCCACCUCUCCAUUUUGGAUUUGAAGAGUAAAGCUUCAUCACUAGCCAACAACACCUCUCCUUUUCGGAUUUGAAGAGGAGAGUUCAUCCAUCCUUUCGACAACCCCUUUCUCUUCAAAUUCAAAGAGAAGGAUUCGUUCUCCAUCGACGAGCAGCCAUGCACUUCAUCCACAGCCUUCGCCGACAGAUUGGCCAUCAGAGAAGCUCCAUCCAGCAGCCCCCUCUCCACUUCAGAUUUGAAGAGGAGAGCUCUAUUCUGAUCCGUGCCUAUGACAUUGGGUUAUUUCUAUCUAUAUUGGAUUGUGUUAUGCUUGUUGAUUGUUGAAUUGUAACAUAGCUAUUCUCCCAUGUUUAGAAUUGCAUGUAUUUUGUUUAAUUGAAUUCUCGCUCGUUAUGUGUUUGAUGAAAUGCCUCUUUCAUUAGUUAGUUUCUAAACUUGCAUCUUCUUUGGUUUGAAUUCUUGGGAUGGUUAGUUAGUUGAAUGUUUUAGGUUAGAUUAGAUUAGUUGAAUUUUGAUAAAUUUAUUCAUGUGGAAGUUUAUUUCUGAUAUUUCCUAAAUUUCUGUGACUCAAAUUUAUUCAACUUGUCCAUUACCUUGCCUACACUCAAAUUGCUUUGAAUGGAGUUCAAUUAGGUGGGUUAGGAGUCAUGUACCAAACACCAAAUACCUAGAAUUAGCUAGGCUUGUUUUGAUUUUGGAUAUCUCCACUAUUAAUUUCAUAAUUUUCAAGCAUGUAGUUAUGUAUAGCUUUUUUAUUUUUUUAUUUUUGUUAAACCUAAUAUAUCUAGCAUGAUUCUUUUCCAUAGAUUGGCAAGGCCUGUGAGGAGAAAUGGAAAACAAUGUCUUUUGAGGUUUAUUCUACCUUUGUGCAACUUAUAAAAGUCUGACCAUCAUUCCUAGAGGUAUUCAGAAACUCUAGCUAAAUAGCUCGGGUAUGGAUGAUUACAAGAGCAACAACUACAUGCUAUGUGACACUACAUCCGAACCUCAAGGGUGUGACUAGGAAGUAUUUCAACGAAGAACUAUCAAGAAGGCUUUGAGAUUUAAGCGAGAAGAUGGUUAAAGUCAAUCAGUAAAGAACAUUCUAUUGGAUCGAUAUGCAUGUGAGAGGAGGGAUGAAUCAUGUGAUUUUCAAAAAUGUAUUUUAUCAUUUUUUUAAAAAAAACACGAGUACGUAGUGAAAAACUAAGUAAUAAAAUGAACACAAGAAAACGCGGUCGAUUUUACUUGGUU